rnacentral:rRNA from 1 species
GUCUACAUGGAUUAUGUGCAUUUAAAAGUAAAUGGAUGCUCUCAGAAGCUAAGCAGGGUCGGGCCUGGUUAGUACUUGGAUGGGAGACCACUAAGGAAUACCAGGAGCUGUAGGUG